CCCUUAUCGGCAGGUUGGGGGAGGGGAACGAGAACGAAGCAGGGUCAAUAGCUCAGAAUGACAGCUAUACCAGUUUAACUCCAGACAUCACGCCCGCUACAUCUCACCUCUCCAGUCACCACGCCACUACGCCACCACCGACCCCUCGAGUCUACGCAGCCCGGUGUCCGUCUGUGUCUUGUCGUCGGGCGUGACGUGCAGCAAAGGCGGUAACAGCAACGGGAAGUUUUAUCUACGUGAUGGAGGUUUUUCGUGCGGCGAGGUGACGUGCCGCUGCUGUGAGAUUAGCGGACCACCCCACCCCACUCUACAGCCACAGCACAGCGGAGAGGAGUUGACUAUCCGAAGGCCCGACUCGCAGCGGCAAUGAGACUCGCACUACCUACACCACCGCCGCAAGAUGAGGGAAGUACUCUCCGCCUUGCAUCGCGCAUUGUAAUGGCCGCCGCCGCCGCCGCUAAGGGAGACUGGCUUGCUGAGUGGAUGGCAGUGAGGCAAAUGUGUUACGUAGUGGCGGAAUGGCGACGAGAACCAGCAGAUGACGGCAGGAAAGAUACAACUCGCAGGAGUUGGUGAUCCGUGAAGCGAUCCCGACUGCACCAUCGGGGAAAGACUCUGGCAUCGCACGGCGCCGUCA